rnacentral:rRNA from 1 species
GACGAACGCUGGCGGCGUGCUUAACACAUGCAAGUCGAGCGAUGAAGUUCCUUCGGGAAUGGAUUAGCGGCGGACGGGUGAGUAACACGUGGGUAACCUGCCUCAUAGAGGGGAAUAGCCUUUCGAAAGGAAGAUUAAUACCGCAUAAGAUUGUAGUAUCGCAUGAUAAAGCAAUUAAAGGAGUAAUACGGCUAUGAGAUGGACCCGCGUCGCAUUAGCUAGUUGGUGAGGUAACGGCGCACCAAUGCGACGAUGCGUAGCCGACCGGAGAGGGUGAUCGGCCACAUGGGGACUGGGACACGGCCCAGACUCCUACGGAAGGCAGCAGUGGGGAAUAUUGCACCAUGGGAGAAACCCUGAUGCAGCAACGCCGCGUGAGUGAUGACGGUCUUCGGAUUGUAAAACGCUGUCUUCAGGGACGAUAAUGACGGUACCUGAGGAGGAAGCCACGGCUAACGACGUGCCAGCCGCCGCCGUAA